GAUGAACGCUGGCGGCGUGCCUAAUACAUGCAAGUCGAGCGAAUGGAUUAAGAGCUUGCUCUUAUGAAGUUAGCGGCGGGCGGGUGAGUAACACGUGGGUAACCUGCCCAUAAGACUGGGAUAACUCCGGGAAACCGGGGCUAAUACCGGAUAACAUUUUGAACCGCAUGGUUCGAAAUUGAAAGGCGGCUUCGGCUGUCACUUAUGGAUGGACCCGCGUCGCAUUAGCUAGUUGGUGAGGUAACGGCUCACCAAGGCAACGAUGCGUAGCCGACCUGAGAGGGUGAUCGGCCACACUGGGACUGAGACACGGCCCAGGCUCCUACGGGAGGCAGCAGUAGGGAAUCUUCCGCAAUGGACGAAAGUCUGACGGAGCAACGCCGCGUGAGUGAUGAAGGCUUUCGGGUCGUAAAACUCUGUUGUUAGGGAAGAACAAGUGCUAGUUGAAUAAGCUGGCACCUUGACGGUACCUAACCAGAAAGCCACGGCUAACUACGUGCCAGCAGCCGCGGUAA
rnacentral:rRNA from 1 species